GAGAGUUAAACAGUACGUGAAAUUGUUGAAAGGGAAACGAUUGAAGUCAGUCAUACCAACGGGAAAUCAACCUUUUGAGUUUGGUCUCGUGGGUUUUGAAGAGUUUAAAAGCCUUCGGAUUUUCGAGAUUGGGUUCUUCUGGUGUACUUUCUCGUACGGUUAGUCAACAUCGGUUUUGAAUGUCAUAAAAUGACUGGAGGAAUGUGGCUUCGAUCUCGUAUUGAAGUGUUAUAACCUUUGGUAGAUGUGAUGUUUGAGACCGAGGAUUGCAACGGAUACCCUUCUGGGCUAUUCGUCUGAUCUCUGAAACGUUGCCUUGAUGUCGAAAGCUUGCUUAUGAUGUUAGGGUAUUACGGUCAAAAGGUUAGAACGGAUUAAAUUCGUUAAGGAUGUUGACGUAAUGACUUUAAACGA
rnacentral:rRNA from 1 species